rnacentral:rRNA from 1 species
UACGUAGGCAGCGAGCGUUGUUCGGAAUUACUGGGCGUAAAGGGUGUGUAGGCGGUUCUUUAAGUUUGGUGUGAAAUCUCCCGGCUCAACUGGGAGGGUGCGCCGAAUACUGAGGGACUAGAGUACGGGAGAGGAAAGUGGAAUUCCUGGUGUAGCGGUGAAAUGCGUAGAUAUCAGGAGGAACACCGGUGGUGUAGACGGCUUUCUGGACCGACACUGACGCUGAGACACGAAAGCGUGGGUAGCAAACAGG